AGACCCUAUAAUGGAGUCGCGAGCGAGUUUGUCAAAAUUAUAGAGAGAAAGGUAUAAUAAUAUAGGAUUUUGACACAAUCACACGUGGCCAGAUUCUGUUAUAAGAGAUAAAUAUACUUUUUAGAUUCUGUGA